UACGAAGGGGGCUAGCGUUGCUCGGAAUCACUGGGCGUAAAGCGCACGUAGGCGGGUCUUUAAGUCAGGGGUGAAAUCCUGGAGCUCAACUCCAGAACUGCCUUUGAUACUGAGGAUCUUGAGUUCGGGAGAGGUGAGUGGAACUGCGAGUGUAAGGUGGAAAUUCGUAGAUAUUCGCAAGAACACCAGUGGCGAAGGCGGACUCACUGGCC
rnacentral:rRNA from 1 species